GACGAACGCUGGCGGCGUGCCUAACACAUGCAAGUCGAACGGGGUAAUUACUUCGGUGAUUACUUAGUGGCGAACGGGUGAGUAACGCGUGAGAAACCUGCCUUUCAGUGGGGGACAACAGUUGGAAACGACUGCUAAUACCGCAUAAUGUUAUCGAGCGGCAUCGCUUGAUAACCAAAGCUUAAUGUGCUGAAAGAUGGUCUCGCGUCUGAUUAGCUAGUUGGUGAGGUAACGGCUCACCAAGGCGACGAUCAGUAGCCGGUCUGAGAGGAUGACCGGCCACAUUGGGACUGAGAUACGGCCCAG
rnacentral:rRNA from 1 species